CAUCUUCAAUCCAAACACACCUCUUCUUCCUCAUAGAUUCAUCUUCAAUCCAAACACACAUCUUCUUCCUAAUUCUUCACCACCAUCUCCACCUUUCACCACCACCACCAUCCACCUUUCACCACCAUACCCCACCCUUCACUCCGAAUUGUCGCUACCUCGUUAUUCUGGAGCCGAUUUCAAGUGAACUUAUUCUAAACGAGCUUUAAGCAAGUCUUGAUUCACGAGCUAUAUCAACAGACCUAAUUCUGAUUAUCUGAAAGCUGUAAUUUGUUAUUUGCUGAUUGUUGAAUGUGAUCUAAAUGUGCAGAGGAGAAGAGUACUAAGAAGCAUCUGCAAGCACAAACUUUGUAUUUCCAACUAAGUGAAGCCAUGGAUUUUUUAUACCAUAUCUGCACAGAAGGUUGCAAGAAGAGAGUUAACGGAGGUUGUGUUCGGUGUAAACGUAUGUGGCAGCUCUUCAAACUCCACUCCUCAAUUUGUGAUCAAUCACCCGAUACAUCAUGCAAAGUCCCCCUCUGCAGGCAAGGGCACGGUGAAUGGUGGUGGUGAAAGAUGGAGAUGGUGGUAAAGAAUUUGGAAGAAGAUGUAUGUUUGGAUUGAAGAUGAAUCUGAAUAUGAGGAAGAAGAGGUGUGUUUGGAUUGAAGGUGGUUAUUGAUUUAAAGUUAUUUUUUUAAUAUUAAGGGUAUUUAAGUCAUUUCACACCCACUUAACUGAAAAGACUAACCUCCAUCCGUGCCAGGGACUAUCUGGGAACGAAAUUGAAAAACUUGGGGACUAUAGCUGUAAUUUUAGAAAGUUAGGGACUAAAGAUGAAAAAAGUCCAAACCACAGGGACUAUCCGGGCAUUUAACUCUUCUCUUUAUGUAAAGUCGUAAAGAUAUACCUUUUUUUCUUUCAAA